AGUUCACAGAAACGAAAUCAAUUUUUGAACUAAUUGUUACUUUUUGUAAAACAUGGUUUUUGAAGAAUCUUCGGGCUGGAAAGCUACAUUCGUCUCGCUUUUAGAUGUCGUGAUAUGUUAGUUACGGAAAUGCUAAAAAACUGUUUCAUAAUGGUAUAUGUGGUUUGCAAUAAGUGAUUGAAAAAGUUCGUCCCGAAGUCGUUACGCCAAAGGAAACAAGUAUGUUCAUCCUAAGGAGCCUGUGCAAAACAGGAUAUUUUGAAUCAACGAAUCAUCCAAAACAGAUUAAAAGCUCAGAAAGAUAAGUUUGUACUCCAUGAUUUCUGAGAAGUGAAGUCGUCAGUUUAUCGAUUUUGUUGCUUUUAGUGCGUAAUUUCGGUAUCAUGCUAGCGAACUACCAUAGCAUCAGCGCAGGAGCCGCGUUCGAACGCGUUAUGAUGUAAAGACGCUCAAAUACUGAAGAGUCUAUCCUCAUCAAGCAAAUAGUGGUUGUGCGUGGUCUUGAUGCGCUUCAGAAUGUAUGUUUGAUGCGUAUUUUCUCGGCAAAAGGUACGGCGAUGCGCAGAUCCAGGCAUUAAAAGUAGAAAGUAUUGCCAUGGAUGGAGUUUUAUCUAUGAAAAACACCUAUGAAGCAGAUCUAACAUAAAUGGAAAUAAAUUGAAUGAGUCUUAAAUCAAUGCUGUGAUCAAGUACGUGUACAGUCACACAUUUUUAAAUUCUCUAACAAAAUAGCUAGUACUGGCUACCGCGAGUCGUCUGUGGAUUGUGGAUAUGUCUUACAAUAUCUCAACAUAUAUUGUGCCAAAAAAUAUUCAAUAAAAUGUGAAUUGCAGAGCAGUGUGUUUGGCGAUAAGAUAUCCUGACA